UAGUAUCAUGUCGUCUGCAUACAGUGACUGUUUUAUCGCUUCUCUUCCUAUAUGGAUGCCUUUUAUUUCUUUUGUUUCCCACUGCACCCAGUGGGAAUGCCAAUAAUUUUUUGGUUUUAGUUUUAUUUAUUUAUUUUAUUGAAAUAUGACUGGUUUCAACACAAUUACAGUGUUGUAUUAGUUCCUGGUAUACAACAAAGUGAUUCAGUUAUAUGUAUACUCUUUUUCAGAUUCUUUUCCAUUGUAGGUUCUGACAGGAUUUUGAAUAGAGUUUCCUGUGCUAUUUGGUAGGUCUUUGUUGCUUGUCUAUUUUAUGUACAGUACUUUGUUAUCUGAGAAUGUCAUUCAGGCUCCUUUCUGUGCCACAUGCCUUGCUGUGUGGAUUUCUGGGCAAGAACUGUCCCUGUGUAGCCUCAUGACCUGAUUCCUCUUGCUACUUUCAUAAUUUUUAUGUUCUUUCUCUCAUCUAAUUAGGAAAAAAUAGAUGAAAAAAUACUUUUUUGGGGGGGGCCUUUUUAGGGCUGCCUCUGUGGCGUAUGGAGAGUCCCAGGCUAGGGGUCCAAUUGGAGCUGCAGCCGCUGGCCUACGCCACAGCCACAGCAAUGUGAGAUCCAGGUGUGUCUUCGACCUACACCACAGCUCAUGGCAACUCUGGAUCCUUAACCCCCUGAGCAAGGCCAGGGAUUAAACCUGCGUCCUCAUGGAUACUAGUCAGGUUCUUUAACAGCUGAGCCACGAUGAGACCUCCUAAAUACUUAUUUUAAACCAUUUUAAAUGUAAGAAAAAUAGUUUACAUUGAUCUUAAACCAGAAUUGGUCAGUCAGCUUUAAAUCCGAGAAAGACUUUAGUACAAAGCUGAUUUUGUGCUUAAGUUGAGGAUUUACUUGGUGUUCGAACCAGCAUGUUAAGACACUAACUACAGGGAGGGAGUAGGAUGGAUGGGGAGUUUGGGGUUAGUAGAUGCAAACCAUUCUGUUUAGAAUGGAUAAGCAAUGAGGUCCUACUCUGCAGCACAGGGAACUCUGUCCAAUUUCUUGGGAUAGAAUAUGAUGGAAGAUAACAUGAGAAAAAGAGUGUCUAUAUAUGUAUGACUGGGCCACUUUGCUGUACAGCAGAAAUUGACACAACACUCUAAAUCUACUAUACUUUAAUAACAAAAUUAAAAAAAAUAAAAAGACAUUGACUACAGCAGCGUGUUUUCAGUCUUUGUGUUGGUUGCAGCAGGGAAUUUGUUUUUAAAGCCAUUAAUUUCUCUUUUGAAAUUAAUAUGCUAAGGGAGACAUUUAAUGAUCCAUAAAAAUAUUGACUUUAUGUAAAAGAAACAGCCAAAGCCAAUUAGCAUGUAUGAAUUUGCAUAUGUAGUCUGGCUCAUUAGAUGUAAAUGUGUUUUCAGUGUGAUGAGUGGUAUUUUUCAACUGCAUGAUAUGGUGAGAAGAAAGAGCUGUCUUUUCAAAUUUAACCUUUGAGAUGACAAAUAGAAUUCUGUUGACUAUGCCAGCCUAUGUAUUUUAGGUAAAAUAUUUUUGUAGUUACUGACUUCAUAGUGAAAACAGUGCUUUCCAUGCUUCUUUGAUCAGAAUCCUUUUUCCCGUGUUGGGUGGGGUGGGUGGAAGCAGGGAGCUUGAGGUCUUGGCUGGGGCUCUAGGGGGUGUCUGUCAUGCCUCCAUGUCUGACAUGGUUCUGCAGUCUGCAGGAUGGUAUUUACAAGGAGAACCUUGGGCCUUCCGAGAAAGGAUGCAGACCAGGUGUCCUGAGGGUCCGUAACAGGUGUCACCUUUUGGAGGGUGUGUGGGACUUACACCCACAUGCUACCCUCUCGCUGGCCUGGCCUGGUGAACUUGGUCUGAGUCCCAGCAGGCAAGCAGGCAGUGGCAGUUUUCAAAACAGAGGGUGUGACUUCCUCCGUUGCUGGUAGGAAUGUGAAUUGGUCCAACAACUAUGGAAAACAAUGUAGAGGUUCCUUAAGAAACUGAAAAUAGAGUUACCAUAUGAUCCAGCAAUCUUACUCCUGGGUAUGUACCUGGAGAAAAUUCUAAUUCAGAAAGAUACGUGCAUCCCAAUGUUCAUUGCAGCAUGAUUUACUAUAACCAAGACAUGGAAGCAAUUUAAAUGUCCACUGACAGAUGAAUGGAUAAAGAAGAUGUGGUACAUAUAUACAAUGGAAUACUACUCAGCCAUGAAAAGAAUGAAAUAAUGCCAUUUGCAAAAACCUGGAUGGAACUAGCGAUUCUCAUAUUAAGUGAAGUAAGUUGGACAGAGAAAGAUAAAUAUUAUAUGCUAUCACUUAUAUGUCCAAUAAGAUAAAUAUUAUAUGCUAUCACUUACAUGUCCAAUCUAAAAGUGAUACAAAUGAACACAUUUACAGAACAGAAACAUACAAAAAAAGCAAACUUAUGAUUACAGCGGUAGGUGAGAGAGGGACAAAUUAGGAGUUUGGGAUUAGCAGUUUCAAAAUACCGUUUCAAACAUCAAGGUCCUACUGUAGAGCACAGGGAACUCUCUUCAGUAGCCUGUAAUAAACCAUAAUG
rnacentral:lncRNA from 9 species